rnacentral:miRNA from 1 species
UUCGUUGUUACUGAAACUCGUC